UUUCAAUUUUAAUAGCGAUGAUGCAUGUACAAUAUAGGGCGAGUUCAACGAAGUAAAUGACAUAGAAACAAGCAAGUCUAACAAUAAUGUGAAUCAGUGUGUAUUUAGGCUUUAUUUCUUUGACAAUUUACAGUAUAAAGGAUAUUUUAAGUCGCAUCCAUUUGCUACCAAUCUGACCAUUCUCAUGUUUUUAUAUCAUCAUAUGACUGGCUAAAACCACCCCCAUAUACACAUAUUAUAUACAAGAGUGGGUAGUAGCGAAGUAGUUGUAGUUCGCUACUGUAGCGAACUACAAUUUUCAAGUAGCCAGUAGUUUUUGACUACUUUUUUAAAACAGUAGUUGUAGUUAUAGCGAACUAC